CAGCAGCCACGGUAAUACGAAGGGGGCUAGCGUUGUUCGGGAUUACUGGGCGUAAAGCGCACGUAGGCGGAUAUUUAAGUCAGGGGUGAAGUCCCAGAGCUCAACUCUGGAACUGCCUUUGAUACUGGGUAUCUUGAGUAUGGAAGAGGUGAGUGGAAUUCCGAGUGUAGAGGUGAAAUUCGUAGAUACUCGCAAGAACACCAGUGGCGAAGGCGGCUCACUGGCUCGAAACUGACGCUGAGGCACGAAAGCGUGGGGAGCAAACAGGAUUAGAUACCCGCGUAGUCCCUGUCUCUUAUAC
rnacentral:rRNA from 1 species